ACUUGAUUGGAAUAGAUGGGAAGCACCUGUGCAACCGUCCACCUGUCCCACCCUGCUGGAGAAAGCUGCACUGCCUCUGCAAAGACAGCGGAUGUCUGGAUUGGUGGAGAGCUAAAUUGCUCGGUGUGAGCUCCGUCACGGCUCAGCUCUCCUUGAGAUAAUGAAAUGACAAUUAAUGGGAAAGCUGUUGCCAUUCGCUCAUUUGUUAGCUUGGAAGUGGAGCAGCAGCGUCGGAGGAAAGACGGAGCGCUGCAGUCAAGACGGAAGCUGGAAAGAGCUCAAUAGUUGGUUUAAUAGCACACAUAGUGGGCUAUUGGAUGUCAAUAAUUUAUGUAAAUUAGGAGCUGACUGAAUAAACAGAUCAUUUAAAAGCAUUUUGUGUAAUGGUUCACAGCCAGUGUAUGCGUCUUUAAGGCUGGCAAACAAUGAAUAUCUGUAGAUCCAAAUCCAGCCCAUCUGAGAGUCAGCAGAUAAGACUCAGAGUGAACAAACACAUGCACAUAACGUUAUCUAAAGAAAAUAAUUAACCUUUCCUCUAUGUUUUAGGCUGUGGAAGGAGAUGGGGUAACUGGGGGUUACCCAGGUAGCACAAGGAGACCAUACCAUAUUUUAACCCACAUACAGCAGUUAGGCCCCAUUCACGAUUUUAACCAACAACCUUCUAAAUCUAAUCCCUGCUGAAUACCAUAUUUAUGUGCCGUUCAACUUUGUGUUAAUUCAGACCCGGCGGCAUGGGUGGGCAUUGGGAGGCCGUGCCCACCCGCUGAGCCAGCCGCGCCCGCCUUGGGCAACUUAAAAGAAAAAAACAAGACCAAAUCUUAAACUCUCUAGUGUUAAAAGCAUAGAACUGUUAAACAUAUAAGAACAUGCUGUUAGCAUUCAACUGCACUAAAGCAAAGAAAAGAAAAAAAAA